rnacentral:rRNA from 1 species
CCUACGGGAGACAGCAGUGAGGAAUAUUGGUCAAUGGACGCGAGCCUGAACCAGCCAAGUAGCGUGAAGGAUGACUGCCCUACGGGUUGUAAACUUCUUUUAUAUGGGAAUAAAAUGAUGCACGUGUGGCUUUUUGUAUGUACUUUAUGAAUAAGGAUCGGCUAACUCCGUGCCAGCAGCCGCGGUAAUACGGAGGAUCCGAGCGUUAUCCGGAUUUAUUGGGUUUAAAGGGAGCGUAGAUGGGUUGUUAAGUCAGUUGUGAAAGUUUGCGGCUCAACCGUAAAAUUGCAAUUGAUACUGGCAGUCUUGAGUACAGUAGAGGUAGGCGGAAUUCGUGGUGUAGCGGUGAAAUGCUUAGAUAUCACGAAGAACUCCGAUUGCGAAGGCAGCUUACUAGACUGCAACUGACACUGAGGCUCGAAAGCGUGGGUAUCGAACAGGAUUAGAUACCCCGGUAGUC